rnacentral:lncRNA from 1 species
CAGCACCAGGACCUAAGUUCUCACACACACACACACACUGGGUUGCCAUAGCUGCUUCCUGGGUUGCCACAGUGGCUCAGAAAUGCUCCUUGACCCAGCGGCUCCAAAUGCCACAGGGCAGCCAAAAAAGACAAACAAACAAACAAAAAGUAGCUUUAAGACUCUUGGUCUAGGUAGAUAUUAACCCAGAAGGUAGAUAAGCUGUGCCUUUAUUCAGCUGCCUUUCUGAGCCAAAAUCUAUACGUGUGACUCCGUGUUUCUCUGCCUUCUUUCAUAAGAAAGUUCGUUCCUCAUCUGGCUUUAAGCUGUGAGCCUGGCGCCAGAAUUUUUCCCCAGUAGAUGCUAAACCCCACUUUUGUUAUAUUCACAGCCCAGUAACCUUUGCCCUCAACAUUGCUCCGUUUUGUCUUUCUACGUUUUAGCUGUUACUUUUUAUUAAAGUAUCGUUGAUUUACCAUGUUACGCUAAUUUCUGCUGUAUAGCAAAGUGACUCAGUUACACACAUAUAUAUGUUCUUUUUUUGUAUGCCUUUCCCUUAUGGUUUAUUCUGGGAGACUGGAUCUAUUUCUCUGUGCUAUACAGGGGGACCCCCUUGCUUAUCCAUUCUAAAUGCAAUUGUUUGCAUCUACUAACCCCAAGCUCUUAGUCCACCCCAGACCCUCCCCCUCCCCCUUGGCAACUGCAAGUCUAUUCUCCAUGUCUCUGUGUCUGUUUCUGCUCUGUAGACAGGCUCGUCUGUGCCAUAUUUUAGAUUCCACAUGUAAGUGAUAUUAUAUGGUAUUUGUCUUUCUCUUUCUGACUUACCUCACUUAAUAUGGGAAACUCUAGUUGCAUCCAUGUUGCUGCAAAGGGCAUUAUUUUGUCCUUUUUAUGGCUGAGUAGUAUGCCAUUGUGUAUAUAUACUACUUCUGAAACGUUCGUCUGUUGAUAGACAUUUAGGCUGUUCCCAUGUCUUGGCUACUGUGAAUAGUGCUACUAUGAACAUACAGGUGCGUAUAUAUUUUAGAGUUGUAGUUUUGUCUGGACAUAUGCCCAGGAAUGGGAUUGCUGGAUCAUAUGGUAGUUCUAUAUUUAAUUUUCUGAGGAACCCCCAGACUGUUUUCCAUAGUGGUUUUACUGAUUUACAUUCCCACCAGCAGUGGAGGAGGGUUCCCUUUUCUCCGCACCCUCCAGCAUUUGUUGUUUGUAGAUUUCUUAAUAUUAGCCAUUCUGUCCAACAUGAGGCGGUACCUUACUGCAGUUCUGAUUUGCAUUUCUCUAAUAAUUAGUGAUGUCGAGCAUUUUUUCAUGUGCCUGUUGACCAUCUGUAUGUCAAAAUUUUCUGUUCUGCAAGACAUUGUCAAGAGAAUAAAAAAAAAAAGCCAAAGAUUGGAAGAAAAUAUUUUCAAAGACACAUGUGAUAAAGUACGGUUACUUUAAAUAUGCCAAGAAUUCUUAAAUUCAACCAUAGGAAAAUUAUCUUAUUAAAAAAAUGAGACGAAGCCAUUAACAGAAACCUCAUCAAAGAUAUACAAAUGGCCAAAUGUAUAUGAAAGUGCGCUCUGAAUUAUAUGAGGGAAAUGCAAGAAUGCAAACGAUGAAAUCCCACUCUACACCUACGAGAAGGGCUAAAAUCCAAAACACUGGCAUCAAGUGCUAAUGAGGAUGUGGGCUGCAGGAAUAUUCAUUGGUGAUGGGAUAUGCAAAAUGGUUUGGCUGCUUGGAAGACAAUUUGGCAGUUGCUUACAAAAUUAAACGCAGUCUUGCCAUGUGAUCCAGCAGGAGUGCUCCUUGGUGUUUAUCCAAGGAGUUGAAAGCUUAGGUCCACAUGAAAAACUAAAAACUGCAAAGAUACUCCUAGCAGCUUUAUUCAUAACUGUCAAAAUUUGGAGGCAACCAAGAUGUCCUUCACGGGGUGAGUGGAAAAAUAAACUGUGAUACAUCCAGACAAAGGAAUAUUAUUCAGCCCUCAAGAGAAAUAUGCUAUCAAGCCAUGAAAAGACAGGAAGGACUCUUUCAUGCAAAUUACUAGGUGAAAGACGCCCAUACGAAAAGGUGACAUACGGUAUGACAGCAGCUCUGUGACAGUCUGGAAAAGGUAAAACGGUGGAAACAGGAAAAAGAUGGCUGGUCUCGGGGGUGUGGGAGGGAGAUUUGCACAAAGGCACAGAGGGCCUGAGAAUAAGGACACUCGCCAUGAGGCUGCGGUGGCAGACAUGUCCUCACACAUUUGUCCAAACCCACUGAAGACACAGCCCCAGGCGUGACCCCUCAUGCCAGCUCUGGACUCUGGGUGAUAAUGACAUGUCAACAUCAAUUGUGACAACGCCCCCCUGGGAAGGGGAUUUUGAGAAUGGGAAAAGGCUGCACGGGCAGCAGCUCUGUGCGAGAUCUAGCAUCUCAGUCUCGCUGGGAAUCUAAAACGCCUCUAAAGAAAAUGACGUCUUUAAAAUGCAAAAAACAACGAAAAAGUAUUUUAAGGUCCAGAGUUGGACCAAUUCUCAUAAGUUUUUAUAGAGUCUUUCCAUUAACUUCAUUUUCUCAGUAAGUUAUGAUUAUAUUUUUAUUUCCUCGUUGGUCUAAGAGCUAUUUAGGAAUUUUUGUCUCUUUUCCAUCAUAAAUAUGAAUCAGUGAGCAAAUCACCUCUUUUUCUAGCUGGAAAUCUUUUUUUCAGCUGUUCUCUAUAUUUCUCACUCCGUGAACCAUGAAAGAAGAGUCUUUGUGUCCCUUUGUGUCCGUCCUCAGGAAGAAACUCCAGACCCUGCCUCUGCAAACUUCAGAGCUGCCUCCUGUCCUUUACGACUGAUGAGCCCCUGGCUAAAAUUCCCCCAGCUGACAAUAUAACCAAACAUGCAUAUUUUUAGUAACACAUGGUCCAUUCCACGAUGCUGGCUUUGUGCUCUUUCCUCUUCAUCUUACACAUGCUCUGACAUGCAGAUGAGAGGGGAAAGGAACAUACUUCAGGAGAUUGAUUUCUAUCCAUUUUAUUAAACUCAAACUCACUCCACUAAGGCAGUCGAGACUCCUCAGGGCCAAAACCGACUUGGGGCGGGUUUUUAUGUUUUGUCCUACUUCAUUUUGUUAGCUCCAGUAAAUAUGCAUUGAGGAAGCAGGACAUUAAGUGAAUUUAAAUCUUUUUCACCUUCUGACCUUAUCUGAUAAAUGUGCACCCCUCUUUAGGCAGUGAACUAAACGUUCAAACUUGAAACAGGCCCAGUGCUGCGACAGGGAUGCUGUCAGCGGGUACGGGGAGCGCCAGUCCUUCUGCCGCUCUGCCUGAGCGGUUUGGUGUAAAAACAGCCCCGUGGCCAAAGUGAACUGGUAGGAAGGAAAGGAAAUCAGAACUGAGCUUAAGAGAGGUUUGGAAGGAAAGCAGCUGAGCGUCACAGAGGUCCUCACUCUGGCCAGUAUUCGAUUCAUGAGCAUCAGUGUCCCCUGAGAGCGUCUUAGAAACACAAAUUCCUGGGUCCUUCCAGGACCUAUUGAGUCAGAAGCUCCGAGGAGCGCGCCCCGAAGCCUCGUGUUAAAAGCUGCUCUGCAGGUUCCCCUGCACUCACGUUUGCCCGAGUGAAGUCGUGCUAAGAUUCUUGGGCUUUAAGCUUGAAAACAACCAAUGUUGACAAAGAGAUUCAAUUAGGCAAACUGGGUAGAAGAAGAAAUUCAUGGAAAAUUUAAUUUUCUAUGAACUGUGAAAAUACACACAAACAGUCACAGGCUCCUGGGAUUGGUGCAGAGACCACAGCAGGCAGAGGUCCAGAAAGCAGGUACGGACUUUGCGGCGGCAGAGGUAUUGGCAGGAAUUACACAGGAUGUGAGGCUCCAGACAAGCAAGGUGCUACUGACGGCUUUCCGUUACUCCCCGCUGGGAACUGCAUCGUUACGUAGUUAAACCAAAAGUUUAGUCUGAUCAGAAAGGUUGGACUCAAACCAGAAUCAAAUACAGUCAUUAGGUAAAAACAGGAGGGAGGAAAGGGACCCUGACACACGCCACGCGCUCGGCAGGAGCGACUCCCAGCACAGGAGCAGAGGCCUGCCCACAGCAUGUCAGGUCGAGUCCCCCUGGACCAGGGGCUUUUGCCUCUGCUUUAGCACUGGGUUGAGAACCGGUUCCAUCAAGUCGAUGCCUGGCAGGUGGAAGAGGGAAACUGGAGGAGACAGGAAACCAAGGAGCCCGAUGGUAGCCUUUGGUCCAAGAUCCUGGAAAAACCUUAGUCCUGGCAAAACCAUGGCAUUCGGUCACGCCACAGCCAAGUAAGUUCUGAUUUUCCACGGUAAGUGCGAUAUGCGUACUUACUCUUUGCUAUCUUGGCAUCUUAUUAAGUCAAUUAGAAUAUUUCUUCACUAAUAAUUUCUAGAUCAUUCAAGAUAUUCGUGUGGUUUGGAAGUUUGUCUCCAGAAAUAUAUAAAACUAUGCAUAGACUGAGGACCAAAAGUAAUUAAAGGCCCUGUGAAGUUAUGUACUAUAGAGGUUUGUUUUUGUUUUUUGGUUUUUUUUUUUUUUUUUUUGGUUUUUUUUGGCAAUACCACUAUUCAAAAAACCAAAAAGGCCUGUUUUAGCUUUCAGUCAGUGCUAACCAGGUGGAACCCCAGGAGUGACCAUGCUGGAGUAAAUGGCCUUAGGCAGGUGUAAAUGAGGACUACGCCACCCCUCAGACCUAAAAGGGCCUCAAAACUGAAUGUUGUGGGUGGUUGUUUCCUGACAGUGUUGGGCUGCCGUGGAUCUCAGCUGACCAAACGCUGCCCAGCUUUGCUGUGGUCUGGGGCCUCGUGCUACGUGUGGGCUGCCCCUUUGUCACGAGCUCUGGGUGACUGCUGCGUGUCCUGAACAACUGUGCCAAGCGACUGCCCUCUGAGGAAGAUGUCCCCAGCGCGCUGUCAGGCCCCUGGUGCUGGAGGAAGCUGGGUGAGGUUCCGAUCUUGCCUGCAAAGACUGGGUGAUGGCCAGGCUGCAAGGAACCUCAAGGGUAAGCGGGUUAAGGCGCAUUGCAUGCCUUCAUAGGUAAAGGCCAAACAGGCACUGAAAGAGCAUAUCAGUCAAAUCCACGGCUGCAAAGUAUCUGCCGGCUGCCGCUGGCUCAAGUCAGUAAUUUCAAUAAUACUGGGUCUGGGGGAGCUUCAUUUAUGGCACCUUGACAUUCACCGUGAGGCACCUUUCAUUCUUUCCAGGUUCAAGACCAGGCUAAAUGAGGUCUUAACAGGCCUUACAUAAUAAGCUUCCUUGGAAGCUCUCUUUCAGCUUAUCUCGGACUAUGUUAACAAUGACAAAAGUCGAGACAAAGGCACAGGGGCCCUUUUGGCAAAAGCCGAUUUUAGGUGUCAAGACUUACUUCCAUUCUAGUUUCUGACUCCUUAGGUCAGAGCAUCGAUGCCCAUGUAAGGUCACUUAGGGCAAAUGGAGGUAUGACCACAGGGAAUUUAGACCACAGCUCUGAUUUUUAAGAUGGACACACCUAGGUUUCUGUUUAACGUUUGCAGCUUUAUAAAGAGGGGAGGGGCACCUUAUUUAAAUGUAGUGAGAUUCCCAGGUAGAGAAUAACAUUUAAAUUUAAUGAUAUCCUCCAAGUAUAAUUAUAAUUUGAGCUCCAGCACUGAUUAAGGCCAUGGAGGCUGGUCGUUAGAGCAUUUCAGUAGAUGUCAGAGUUAAUUCAGAAUCUGCAAUAUAGAGGCACAAAGCCAAUUAGCACCUUUUCGAUCUUUUAUCCCACUGUGUGUUUAGUAAAUUUUUUAUUUGCAAUUGGGCCCAGUUGUGGUUCAGAGGUCCAAAGUCCAGGGCAAGUUCUAAGCCCAAGGUCCAAAUUUUAGUUUUAAGGUCAUGUCCAAGGAACUGGAAAGUUCCCAACCCAAGUUGCAUAUCCAGCAUCCAUGUCCAAGGUUAGAUCCAGUUCCAGAUUUGAGGUCCAGGUCUGGGUCCCUGGUCCAAGGUAAGAGAACCAAUCACAAGGUUUACUCCCAAUGUCCUAAGAACAGUCCAAAGUCUAGGUCUUGGUCCAGAUCCAAAGACCAGGACAAAUCAACUAUAAAUUCAUGUUUAACAACCUACUACGAGUUCAACGAUCACAUCCACAGAUUAGAUCAAGGAUAGAGUCCCAGAUGCCAGUUUCAGGCCCAGAGUUAUGUCCAGAACCAAGGGUAAGGCCCAAGAUAGACUUUAGAGGUCCAGGUCCAAGAUCCAAGUUAAUGACCAGUGAUUAAGUCAAAGGUUAGGCUCAAGGUCUUGGUCACACCCAGGGCCAAGGUUGAUGUCCUGCGUCUAUGUCCAAAGUGAAACUAUGGUUCAUGGUCCAGGCUGUCGUCUGAAGCCCAGGUCUAAGUUCCACUGUUCGAGUAUUGGUCCAUAUCAAAUAUACAGGUCCAGGCAUGAGGAAUAAUAUUCACACAUGAGUUCCAGGUCUAGCUUCUGGGGCUUAUGUCUAAGACACAUCUCCAUGUGUGAGGUCCAGGAAUAAAGUUUGAAUUCUACCAUCAAAGUUUAGGUGUUAAGUCCAAAAUUCAGUCAAAGGUCUUUGUCCAGGUCUGAAGUCCAAGUCCAAGAUCCAUGUUCAGGUCAGAAGUCCAGACCUGAGGUCCAAAUAUGAGAUUGAAGGUCCAGUUCCAAGGUCCAGGAAGAAGGUCCAAGUUCCCCUUGUAAUGUCAAGUUCCAGAUCUAGAUCCGAGAUCCUGAUUUAGAUCCAAGGUGCAGUUACAAAACCAAGGCCCAGGUCAUUUUAGGUCCAAGCCCAGAAUAGAGGUCAAGAUCCAGGAUUCGGGUCCGAGAUUAGAGGUCCAGGCCAAAGGCCCAUGCCCUGACCGGAAGUUUAGGUAUGAGAGUGAUGUUCAACGUUCAAGGUCCAAACCCAAUUCCAGGUUCAAGGUCCAGGUCCUAGGCCAGGUUUAGGUGUAAAAUCCAAGGGUGAGGUCUAGUACAGGUCUAAGUUUCAGGCUUAAGAGCAGAUCCAAGGAACGGAAAAAUCAAGGUCUGAGGCCCAGGUUCAAUGGCUGUGUCUAACAUUAGUGUCAGAUCCAGGUCUGAGUCCAAGGCCUGAGGUCUACAUCUGAGUUUAGAAAUCUAGGUCCAGGAGUUCCCCUCGUGGCACAAUGGUUAACGAAUCUGACUAGGAACCGUGAGGUUUCGGGUUCAAUCCCUGGCCUUGCUCAGUGGGUUAAGGAUCUGGCAUUGCCAUGAGCUGUAGUGUAGGUUGCAGACACGGCUCGGAUCCUGCGUUGCUGUGGCUGUGGUGUAGGCCGGUAGCUACAGCUCUGAUUCGACCCCUAGCCUGAGAACCCCCAUAUGCCAUGGGAGUGGCCCAAGAAAUGGC